rnacentral:lncRNA from 1 species
CGUUGCUAGGCUACGUUCAAGCGCGUCGCGCCAAACGCUGUCAGAUAAUGACUAAUACUGAGCGCGAUUAUUUCAUUAUUUCAACGAUGUGGGUGACAGGGAGGAAAGCCGAGGAGAGUCAACCCAAACCUCUGUGGUAAAUGUUUUAAGAUUCGUUGGUUCUGGUACACCACUGUGUGGGUCUGUGUGAGAGUGGAGAUGAUAUUCUUGCUGGCAGUUUUGAUCUAGAACACUUUGUUGGUGACCCCUGACUGGAAAAGUGUUUGUGCGGUACUUUCCCCCCCCUACUCCAGAGCUCGGCAGAAGCCUGUCAAUAGUAACUGACCCAAACUUGCACCCUCAUGGGGUGAAGGGUAAUUCAGUCAGUGUUGCCACUCAGCUGCAGUCCCUCUUCAGCUCUCCCCCUCUGGUGCCGCCGCAAAGAGGGGAGAACAAAAGAUAUAGAGCAGUAACAGUUUAAGGCUCGACUAGGAUGGUGGAUGUUCCUCAUCGACCGCGGCCCUUAGGAGGAGGCUGCUAGGGGAGCCCGUGUCAGUCCUGAUCAGAUAUCUGUGGUGUCAAUUAAACAGACACAGGAAGCGAUUUUUUUUUUUUAAAGUCACAGACAUAUUUCCUCACAUGACUGAGAGGUUAAGAUUAAAAUGUGAGCAACAAUAGGCCCCUUUUAGCUGAAUCGUUGAUUCUGGGGUCACUCAGGGGACGUCAGGGAGAGUGAUGAUAUAAUAUAACGCAUCACUUCCCUUACAUGUCGAC